CAGCCGCCGCGGUAAUACGUAGGGUGCGAGCGUUAAUCGGAAUUACUGGGCGUAAAGCGUGCGCAGGCGGUUUGUAAGACAGGCGUGAAAUCCCCGGGCUCAACCUGGGAAUGGCGCUUGUGACUGCAAAGCUAGAGUGCGGCAGAGGGGGAUGGAAUUCCGCGUGUAGCAGUGAAAUGCGUAGAUAUGCGGAGGAACACCGAUGGCGAAGGCAAUCCCCUGGGCCUGCACUGACGCUCAUGCACGAAAGCGUGGGGAGCAAACAGGAUUAGAUACCCGUGUAGUCCCUGUCUCUUAUACA
rnacentral:rRNA from 1 species